CAGCAGCACUCGCUCAGCUCUGAUGGGGGAAGCCAUGUUAGUGCCGUGAGCUAUUUAAAUCACCCUAGUUUCACAACGAAAGGCUGCGACUAGCACGUUUUGGGGAGACUGAAUCGCUCCCGAAGCCCCUUCGCGCGGAAUCGGACACCCCUCUGUGUUUUUCCAACAGCACACUUUUCACCAUUAAAAUAUAGCGGCUUUUCCCAACCACUGUAAAUGAGAGCAGUCCAAAGGAUAAAGGAAACAGAGUAUCAUUUUUGCACCUAAAACAUAUGAUGUCGAAGGAUAUCGCAAGAAACAUAGCCCUACACGUGUGUGGAUGUAAUGUUUAUGAGGACUGACGCUGGUUCUCAGAAGAGAUCUUUGUGUCGCUGCAGCCAGCUGCGGUUAUUAUUUGAUCCACUGCUAUUUUUAACGCAUAUCACUCGCUCUACUAAUACACCGCAGACGUGUUUUAAAGCGUUUAUUCUAGUGGCUCUCUAGCACACAAGAGCCUGCGGGAUUUUAAGCUCUCUCGCUUUCUGUCUUUGGCCAGGAGCUUGAUAAAAUAGCUCCCCUCCCCCAAAGCUUUGGCGAAACAGGAACAACUUCUUCUUCGAGAGAAAAAAGGGCUGCACAAGUUUGGGACGUCUUGGAUCCGCCGUUUGUCCAUUUGUAGUCCGGAGCUGAGAUUUUUUUUCUUCUACACCGAUUCUUUGGGUUUUAUUGAGGAUUGUCGGCUUCCUUUGUUAGCGAGAAGGCUCUGGCAUCCAUGCUCCUGAAUUUUUUCUUUGGAAAAUGGGAUACCUCUAGGAUUAUAAUGAGGGGAAUGCGCUCGCUUGUGGAAUAACUUCACUUUUUUUCAGUGGGAAUGGAAUUGGCGGAGCCCUGAUUUAUUUUCUUUAAUUGCAAUGGGAAAAGUGCUUUAUGUGGAAUAUUUGUUGUUGUCGUGCUCCACAUGGGUGUUCGGAUAGAGUCUGUGAUCUCCUGAGCUCACUGGUUUAAUCUACAGGAGAAGAGGCGCUCACAAAUUUUCACAGUGGAAAUUAUUUGCAUGGUCUUCAGAUGAGGGAGAACGGGAGACUCUGAAACCUGAAGGGUGUUCGAGAUAUUGCUGGUGUUCUGUAUCACAGGCUUGGCUGUAGUUGUGGUAUGCCCAGAGGUGACUGAUGAUAGCAACCUACUGUCUUUUGGCCAACAAUAACUGUAGCCGAUAACUGUUGAUGGAUGAAUAAACAAAUUAUCUUGUCAGUUUUUAAAUCACGAAAACUCAAAUAUAAUCAAAAAUAAGAUGUGGAUGUGAAGUUAAUUU